rnacentral:rRNA from 1 species
UACAGAGGGUGCGAGCGUUGUCCGGAAUUAUUGGGCGUAAAGAGCGUGUAGGCGGCCAGAUAAGUCCGCUGUGAAAUCUCGAGGCUCAACUUCGAGCUGUCGGUGGAAACUAUCUGGCUAGAGUCCGGAAGAGGAGAAUGGAAUUCCUGGUGUAGCGGUGAAAUGCGCAGAUAUCAGGAAGAACACCCGUGGCGAAGGCGGUUCUCUGGGACGGUACUGACGCUGAGACGCGAAAGCGUGGGGAGCGAACAGG